UCUCUGUUCUCCUACUAAUCUCACUGUAACCCCCUCCAGGUCUCUGUUCUCCUACUAAUCUCACUGUAACCCCCUCCAGGUCUCUGUUCUCCUACUAAUCUCACUGUAACCCCCCUCCAGGUCUCUGUUCUCCUACUAAUCUCACUGUAACCCCCUCCAGGUCUCUGUUAUCCUACUAAUCUCACUGUAACC